UUUUUUUUUUUUUUUUUUAGUUAUUCGUUUGGUUAAAACACACACACAAACUACUCAGCAUCUAAAGUGAGGAGUUCUGAAAAGACAUCUUUCUAGCACUGGGGUUCACCCUCAUAACUGUGCGUGUUGAGGACGAUGUCUUUCCUCCCCUGGCUUGGUAGCCACUUCUGGUGUACUCAGGUAACCUUUAGUAAGAAGGUCACAUACGCGAAUUCUCUUGUCAGGCCCUUAAAGCUCGUCUUUCCCUUGGGUCUCAAGAUCUGUCGUUUAAACAAAUUUUUUUGUUGCUAUUGGGGAUUUGCCUUUAAAGCAAAGACGAUUAUUAUCCUCAGCUGACUUUUUCCUUGACGUGCUUCAAAGAUGAUACAAUAAUUAUGUGUUUUCUAACCAGACGAUUCCGAGGAGCGGAAUCUGCUAUGCUUCCAAAUAACUGAAUGUAAAGGCCCUGGCCACCUGUUGAAUUCCAUACUCGUAUUUACUUCCAGCUUCUUCCUAGGAAAGAAGAGAAAGAUACUCUUGACUGUUUGUUGUUGUUGUUGUUGUUGUUGUUGUUGGUUUUGUUCUGUUUUGGUUUUUUGUUUUUGUUUUUUUGCGUUCUCUGUGGAGGGAGCCUGCAGAGGAGCUGUGUGGUUCCAGCUGUGCUGCCGGGAGAUAGCCUCCCAGCACUCCCUUAAACAAGAGCCAGUGCUGCCUACUACUGCCUUCUCUUGCAGGAAGAGGUAGAGAGCAUGUAGUACCCUGGGAGGGGCUCUGGAAGUAGGCUGCUGGCUAAGCAGGCAAGAAGCCCUGGGCUCAAUCCUCAGUACCACAUAAACCAAGUGUAGCACACAGCAUUUAGGAAAUAUAGGCAGGAGGAUCAGAAGUCAAGGUCAGACUUGGCUACAUAGUGAAUUUGAGCGGAACCGUGGAUGCAUAAGACACCAUCAUAUAAAUGUGUGUGUAUACAUAACAUAUGAAUAUGUAUAUAUACACAUAUACAUAUGUAUGUACACACACACAUAUGAAAUGGAUACAUGGAAUAGAUGCUUGAGAAUUUAGCCAUUUAGGGCACCAAGAUUGGAGACUAAACCCUAUGCCAACACUGCAGCAAACCCUAGCGCUGCUGCAGUAUUAUGGCUGGCGGAGGCUCAGCCCCUUUACCAUGUUUACAGACGUGUCUAUCGAUUCUGACCAUGGACCACCAGUUUCCCCUGUUUACUAUGUGUAGGGUUCCUUUUUAUCACAGGCCUUUUCAUAAAGACAAACUGUAGAAAUCAGAUGUGCCCAGCUGUCUUCUAAGCUCUCUUGAUGGCUCAUGUGGCAAUAGAAUAUACUAAUAUCGGCAAUAAAUGGAGACUUACUGUCAUGAGUGACAAAUGUUUGUUGACCUGGCAGGGAAACAAACUGCUUUUGGCUCCAUGUAUCCAGGAUACACAUCCAGGCUGAAGGGGUGUCCUUCCCGGUGCAGUCAUUAAAGUGGUACGAGACAGCAAAUUAUUGCUGGCUUGGCUUGUGGCUUUUUGUUUGUUUGUUUGUUUGUUUCAUUUUAAUAAAAAUGAGAACAACAGGCCAGUGGAAACCUGCUUUAAACCUGACAAACCAUGAGCAACACCCAAACACUUCCACCAUGGCUGCUAGAGUUCAAGUUCUUUCUGAUCAUGGUCUUUAAAAUGCCUUUGGAGCCUCUCGAAGCAGCUCUUUGAGCCACUCGUAUGAACAUCUAGAUAGGAAGUGAUGGUUUUAAAUUUGACUAUUUUCAUAGAAUAUUAAUAAUGAAUAUGGUUUUUCAGCCACAUACAGAUUUUGAAUUGCAGCAAAGGUUGAUUCCUUUACAAGGAUUGUUGAGAGUCAUGUGUACUUUACAGCAUACUCUGGAGGUCCUUUCAUGGAGCCUGUAGAAGUCUAGCCUGGAAUUGGGCUAGUAAUAACAAUUAUUAUGAAGGCCUUCAUUGCAAAAGAAGGAGGAGAAAUAUUAAAGGUUUGUUAUAAGCAGUUUGGAAGGAAAAAAACCCUAAGGUGCUUUUCAAAAGAGUAACGAAAUUGUUCUGAGCUAAAACAGCAAUACUGUGUUCCUCAUUAGUUCAAUAGGAACAGUGAAACUGUCAUUUCACUAAUAAACUGAGUAAACUUACGGUGAAAACAGUGUAAUAUGUUUUAAUGAGCCACUUGAGAAAGAAUAUGCUCGUUACUAAGAUAAAAUGUGCAGAAAAAUCCUUGCACGUCUAUGCAUAAACUAUUAGCUAUAACUUCUGCCGUUGUGUUUCCCUGUAGGUCUACAAUAUAGAUUGUGGUCUAGAAAUUAGGAUAAAAGUUACCUUCUCCUUUUCUUAGAAAAGACCAAUGAGCACAAUGGUGUUAAGUCACUUAACUGUUCUGAUGAAUAAUAAAUGCAAUAACUAGAUCCUGAGUGAGACGCUGUCUGUCUGUCUGUCUAAAUACACUGAACCUUUUCAACCUUGUAGUUCUAUCAGUGACCAGUUAUAUCGAUGUAAGAUUUUCAUACCUUCCUACUCCUUUGAGAAUUGAUGGGUUUACUACCACAUGCUGCUGAUUACAUUAAAAAACAACAAC
rnacentral:lncRNA from 1 species